ACCUCUACUUCUUACAUGAUGACGUCGUGGAGAAGGGCACUUACAAAGCCAUGUAGGAAGAAGAUAAGCUGUGGAGGGACAGACAGACAGAGUCCAUAGCAGAGAAGCGUGCAAUACAUCUCAUAGCUGAGGAAACCAUUCUUGAUGUGACCGGUGACAUGAUAGACGAGGUGAUACGAGAGCAGUACCACAUGUACCGCAUGUUUGGUAACAUUACAGACACCAUGCUGAUAUCUGAGGCAGAG